rnacentral:rRNA from 1 species
UACGUAGGGUGCGAGCGUUAAUCGGAAUUACUGGGCGUAAAGCGUGCGCAGGCGGUUCGUUGUGUCGGCGGUGAAAGCCCCGGGCUCAACCUGGGAAUGGCCGUUGAAACUGGCGAACUGGAGUGUGGCAGAGGGGGGUGGAAUUCCGCGUGUAGCAGUGAAAUGCGUAGAGAUGCGGAGGAACACCGAUGGCGAAGGCAGCCCCCUGGGCUGACACUGACGCUGAGGAGCGAAAGCGUGGGGAGCGAACAGG